rnacentral:rRNA from 1 species
AGCGAACGCUGGCGGCAGGCUUAACACAUGCAAGUCGAGCGCCUGUAGCAAUACAGGAGCGGCAGACGGGAGAGUAACACGUGGGAACGUACCCUUUGGUUCGGAACAACACAGGGAAACUUGUGCUAAAACCGGAUAAGCCCUUACGGGGAAAGAUUUAUCGCCAAAGGAUCGGCCCGCGUCUGAUUAGCUUGUUGGUGAGGUAACGGCUCACCAAGGCUACGAUCAGUAGCUGGUCNGAGAGGACGAUCAGUCACACCGGAACU